UACGUAGGUGGCGAGCGUUAUCCGGAAUUAUUGGGCGUAAAGCGCGCGCAGGCGGUUUCUUAAGUCUGAUGUGAAAGCCCACGGCUCAACCGUGGAGGGUCAUUGGAAACUGGGAGACUUGAGUGCAGAAGAGAAGAGUGGAAUUCCACGUGUAGCGGUGAAAUGCGUAGAGAUGUGGAGGAACACCAGUGGCGAAGGCGACUCUUUGGUCUGUAACUGACGCUGAGGCGCGAAAGCGUGGGGGAGCAAACAGG
rnacentral:rRNA from 1 species